rnacentral:rRNA from 1 species
GCCGCGGUAAUACGUAGGGCGCAAGCGUUAUCCGGAAUUAUUGGGCGUAAAGAGCUCGUAGGCGGUUUGUCGCGUCUGCUGUGAAAGCCCGGGGCUCAACCCCGGGUCUGCAGUGGGUACGGGCAGACUAGAGUGCAGUAGGGGAGACUGGAAUUCCUGGUGUAGCGGUGAAAUGCGCAGAUAUCAGGAGGAACACCGAUGGCGAAGGCAGGUCUCUGGGCUGUAACUGACGCUGAGGAGCGAAAGCAUGGGGAGCGAACAGGAUUAGAUACCCUGGUAGUCCAUGCCGUAAACGUUGGGCACUAGGUGUGGGGGACAUUCCACGUUUUCCGCGCCGUAGCUAACGCAUUAAGUGCCCCGCCUGGG